rnacentral:rRNA from 1 species
AGCUCCAAUAGCGUAUAUUAAAGUUGUUGCAGUUAAAAAGCUCGUAGUUGGAUUUCUGGUGAGGAUUGAGGGGUCGCUUAACUUUUAUGUUAAAUGAACAUCUUCAAUUCAUACCAUCCUUAUGGAUUAUUUUGAUUUGAUUUAUUAAUUUAGAUUGGAUUAAAAGCCAUAUCGUUUACUGUGAAAAAAUUAGAGUGUUUAAAGCAGGCUUAAUAGCUGUGAAUACAUUAGCAUGGAAUAAUAAGAUAGGACUUUGGUACUAUUUUGUUGGUUUGUAUACCAAGGUAAUGAUUAAGAGGGACAGUUGGGGGUAUUCGUAUUUAAUUGUCAGAGGUGAAAUUCUUGGAUUUAUGAAAGACGAACUACUGCGAAAGCAUUUACCAAGGAUGUUUUCAUUAAU